AAACCUUAACAUUUUUUAUAGGAAUGCGAUAAAAAUUCGAAGGAGACUUUUUCUAUGUGUGUUCCUAUUACACACUUACAUAUGUAACUUUACUGUGUAGGAGUUGCGCUGUAAUUGAACGAUUCACAAAGGCAGAAGGCUUCCUAUGGUAGCGCCAGUAGGUCUACAUCGUCUGCAUUGCCUAGCCGCGACAAACAGCGUGACAACCGUGAUAACAGACGAGAUAGUCGUGACGUUGUACGUGACCAUCGAGACGAAAGGGAGCCGAGGGACACACGACACUCGAAAGAUAAUAAUCGAUUUGACUACAAGGGCGAUCGUUCGCGCACAAGAGAAUACCAAAAUGAUUAUAAGCGGGAACGUGACAGCCAUGAUAACCGUAGACCUCGCGAAGACGAUCGUUAUCGUCCCUCUUCUUCUUCUUCUUCAUACAAGAAUAGUCGUCAUAGCGGCAAUGGCCGCGAUGAACGCUCACGUCACGAUUUGUCAUCUCAAAAUCCUAC